UUUCCGUAGGUGAACCUGCGGAAGGAUCAUUAUCGAAACGGGACGCCUCGAGGGGGAAAACCCUUCGAGGCUUCGACCCUCUUCACACCCGUGCACCCGUUGUAGGUCCUUUGCCGACCUACGUCUCUCCUCUCGCUCGCAUGUCUACAGAACGUAUUCGUCGCGUCCCGGCCUCGACCCUCAGGGUCCCGCGUCGGCGACCGCAGAAACCUGUCGUACAACUUUCAGCAACGGAUCUCUUGGCUCUC
rnacentral:misc_RNA from 1 species